rnacentral:rRNA from 1 species
AUUGAACGCUGGCGGCAGGCCUAACACAUGCAAGUCGAGCGGAGCGGCGGAAGGGUGAGUGAUGCCAAGGAAUCUGCCUGGGAGUGGGGGAUAACGUCAGGAAACGGGCGCUAAUACCGCAGACUAACAGAUGAGCCUAGGUCGGAUUUGCUAGUUGGUGGGGUAAAGGCCUACCAAGGCGACGAUCCGUAGCUGGUCUGAGAGGAUGAUCAGUCACACUGGAACUGAGAACCGGUCCAGACUCCUACGGGAGGCAGCAGUGGGGAAUAUUGGACAAUGGGCGAAAGCCUGAUCCAGCCAUGCCGCGUGUGUGAAGAAGGUCUUCGGAUUGUAAAGCACUUUAAGUUGGGAGGCGUUACCAACAGAAUAAGCACCGGCUAACUUCGUGCCAGCAGCCGCGGUAAUAC